rnacentral:rRNA from 1 species
AUGGCGGCAUGGAGGCCGCGGCGGUGCAGGGCAAUAAGCCGCGGCGGCGUGCCGGGCGCGACCGGUGCGUGUUAUGGGUGCGCACUUGACGCGUCGGGCGCGUCGGGACCGCGGGCGCGCGGUGAGCGCACUGGUGUGGUCGGGCUCGUCGGGCGCGUAGGAUGCGCGCGGGACGUGCGGGACGCACUGGUGUGGUCGGGCUCGUCGGGCGCGUCGGGUGCGCGCGGGACGUGCGGGGCGUCGAGGGACGUCAGGCGUGUGUCGCCGGCGGAGGAGGAGCUCGGCGUGUGUCGCUGGAGUCGUGAUGGAGCACGGUGCGACCGGCGUCGUUGCGCCAGGUCGGGUCCGUGGGCUGGGUCACACUCGUGA